AUUGAACGCUGGCGGCAUGCUUUACACAUGCAAGUCGAACGGUAACAGGCCGCCAGGUGCUGACGAGUGGCGGACGGGUGAGUAAUGCAUCGGAACGUGCCCAGCCGUGGGGGAUAACUACUCGAAAGAGUAGCUAAUACCGCAUACGAUCUAUGGAUGAAAGCGGGGGACCGUAAGGCCUCGCGCGAUUGGAGCGGCCGAUGUCAGAUUAGGUAGUUGGUGGGGUAAAGGCUCACCAAGCCAACGAUCUGUAGCUGGUCUGAGAGGACGACCAGCCACACUGGGACUGAGACACGGCCCAGACUCCUACGGGAGGCAGCAGUGGGGAAUUUUGGACAAUGGGCGCAAGCCUGAUCCAGCAAUGCCGCGUGCAGGAAGAAGGCCUUCGGGUUGUAAACUGCUUCUGUACGGAACGAAACGGCUCUGGUUAAUACCCGGGGCUAAUGACGGUACCGUAAGAAUAAGCACCGGCUAACUACGUG
rnacentral:rRNA from 1 species